GCCAGCCUGGGGUAGUGGUUUGAGUAUUGGACUAUGACUCUAGAGACCAAGGUUUGAAUCCUGGCUUGGUC